UUAACUCAAAUUUGUAUCGAGUUGUAAAGUUUGCCUACCUUUGCCGCUGGGGGCGUUGUUCCAACUGCAUACAGAUUUGAGUUA
rnacentral:pre_miRNA from 1 species